AUUGAACGCUGGCGGCAGGCUUAACACAUGCAAGUCGAGCGGGGUGAUGGUGCUUGCACUAUCACUUAGCGGCGGACGGGUGAGUAAUGCUUAGGAAUCUGCCUAUUAGUGGGGGACAACAUCUCGAAAGGGAUGCUAAUACCGCAUACGUCCUACGGGAGAAAGCAGGGGAUCACUUGUGACCUUGCGCUAAUAGAUGAGCCUAAGUCGGAUUAGCUAGUUGGUGGGGUAAAGGCCUACCAAGGCGACGAUCUGUAGCGGGUCUGAGAGGAGGGGCCGCCACACUGGGACUGAGACACGGCCCAGACUCCUACGGGAGGCAGCAGUGGGGAAUAUUGGACAAGGGGGGGAACCCUGAUCCAGCCAUGCCGCGUGUGUGAAGAAGGCCUUAUGGUUGUAAAGCACUUUAAGCGAGGAGGAGGCUCUUUUGGUUAAUACCCAAGAUGAGUGGACGUUACUCGCAGAAUAAGCACCGGCUAACUCUGUGCCAGCAGCCGCCGUAA
rnacentral:rRNA from 1 species